GGACUACAAGGGUAUCUAAUCCCGUUCGCUACCCUAGCUUUCGCGUCUCAGCGUCAGUAGACGUCCAGGACCUCGCUUUCGCCACGGGCGUUCCUUCCGAUCUCAACGCAUUUCACCGCUCCACCGGAAGUUCCAGGUCCCUCUACGUCCCUCCAGACGGGUCGUUUCGGCGCCCAUUCCCCGGUUGAGCCGGGGGCUUUCAACGACCGACGUACCCAUCCGCCUACACGCGCUUUAAGCCCAGUGAUUCCGAAUAACGUUCGCACGGUUCGUCUUACCGCGGCUGCUGGCAC
rnacentral:rRNA from 1 species